ACUGAUCGUUUUUUGUAACAAACUCUGUUAUUUUAUUUUACUUCAACGUAAAAGAAAAAUAAGACAAACCAAACAAAUUGGUUAGAAUAGAAGUGAAUUAACGAUUUUUUUAAAAUUAUUUUUCUCUUUCAUGGCAUACUUUCAUGAUUUAUAAGCGGGUUGUAUGGCGUGGUCAUCAUGGAGUGGCGACUGCAAAGAAUGCAGACAGUACCGGGAAAGAGUUGAAUUUAACUGCUCAAGAACUCGGGAAUCACGGCCUUGUAAAUGUAAGUGGUUUGAUCUAUGAAGAGAAACAAGAGGACUCCAGAAGUG